GAUGAACGCUGGCGGCGUGCCUAAUACAUGCAAGUCGAGCGAACGGACGAGAAGCUUGCUUCUCUGAUGUUAGCGGCGGACGGGUGAGUAACACGUGGAUAACCUACCUAUAAGACUGGGAUAACUUCGGGAAACCGGAGCUAAUACCGGAUAAUAUUUUGAACCGCAUGGUUCAAAAGUGAAAGACGGUCUUGCUGUCACUUAUAGAUGGAUCCGCGCUGCAUUAGCUAGUUGUUAAGGUAACGGCUUACCAAGGCAACGAUGCAUAGCCGACCUGAGAGGGUGAUCGGCCACACUGGAACUGAGCCACGGUCCAGACUCCUACGGGAGGCAGCAGUAGGGAAUCUUCCGCAAUGGGCGAAAGCCUGACGGAGCAACGCCGCGUGAGUGAUGAAGGUCUUCGGAUCGUAAAACUCUGUUAUUAGGGAAGAACAUAUGUGUAAGUAACUGUGCACAUCUUGACGGUACCUAAUCAGAAAGCCACGGCUAACUACGUG
rnacentral:rRNA from 1 species